rnacentral:lncRNA from 1 species
UGCCGAUCAUAUUCCUGGGACUCCCAGGAAAUCCAGGGGCUCGUCUCCGCCACGUGCCAAGCAGAAACAACUGCUGCACAUAAUUAAAAGAGUGUAAAAGUGAGGCAGCUGCUGUCAAAUGUGCCGCGCGUAGAAUUAGCUUCCCACUUUCCAUUAAUGGAAGCGGGGACGGGCCGGGCCCUGUCCUUGCGGUCGUGCGUCUGGGCAUCUGGGCCUCGGACGGGUGCCAGCGAGGGCGAGCGAGCGAGAGAGAGAGGAGCAGACAAAGACACGCUCCACAGAAGGGUGAGGUUGACUCCGGGUCACAGAGGCGGCCUGGCCUUAUGGCUGACAGAUGUUAGUCUGGUUCAACAAGAGUUGGGAUGCUGGAAAAAGUUACACCACACUCGGUUCCACAUUGCAAUUAUCUUCUCUGUGUAAAGAAACAUCUCGUAUAUCACCGCUCAACAAGACAUAAGCAAAAGCCACUCCCUGGAUCAGGAGGCCUUUGAUAAACCAUGGCACUUCAACGCGCUGCCUAAUUGUAUGGCACUAAAAUGUUUCGCUGUUGCAGCUAGUGGGCCUGUUAGCAGCAUUCCCAAGCGGCACCACAGUGUAUUUUUUUUACUGUGGAGAGCUCAUCAGCCGGCAGUGAUUGUGCUAAUGCUGCUAAUGAUCCCCAGGAGACAUCAACGCAGACCGGAACCGAGCCUGUUCAUUUACAGGAAGGUUCAGUGCAAGUGUCUGGAGGGAGUCAAGGAUGAGACCUGUCUCCAGACGCUCCCCUGUCGCCCCAUGGGAGGGGUCACGCUGUGCACAGGGUGAUGACUCCGAGGUGAUGCAUUCCCCAUAAACUGCACGUGGACGGGGACAGCAGCAGUGCUGUGGGAGAGAACCGCUUUCUAGCGGUUCCUUUCUUCAGACGGGACCGAGGGGAAAUGAAAUGACAGUGGAUCAUUAGACCGGCGUUGCCUGCAGCUCGCUAAUUUAUGCAAAUUAAUUUUCUCGGCUGCUGCAAGAGGAGCGGGAGCGGGCGCCACCGCCGGCCGGCCGGCCCUCAGCAUCCAGCGGCGAAACGGUUAAACGGCUGCACUCCGCUUUU